GCCUCCUGCGGGAUAGCUCAGUUGGUAGAGUAUGAGACUCUUAACCUCAUGGUCGUGGGUUCGAUGGCUGUGUUGGGCA